rfam:Gossypium raimondii Chr05_contig_833, whole genome shotgun sequence.
AUCCCGUGGUGAGGCAUUUACGAAGUAUAUCUUUAAAUUUUUCCUACGCCUCGCAUAGGGAUUCAUCAUCCAUUUGUUGAAAAGUGGUGAUCUCAUUCCACAACUU